rnacentral:rRNA from 1 species
GACGAACGCUGGCGGCGUGCUUAACACAUGCAAGUCGAACGGAAAGGCCCCUUUCGGGGUACUCGAGUGUCGAACGGGUGAGUAACACGUGCGUAACCUGCCCUUGACUUCGGGACAACUUCAAGAAACUGGGGCUAAUACUGGAUAGGAAUCCUUUCUUCAUGCGGAGGGUUGGAAAGCUUCGGCGGUUUUUGAUGUACUCGCGAGUUAUCAGCUUGUUGGUGGGGUAGUGGCUUACCAAGGCUUUGACGGGUAGCCGGACUGGGAGGGCGACCGGCCACAUUGGGACUGAGAGAAGGCCGAGACUCCUACGGGAGGCAGAAGGGCGGAAGCUUGAAGAAGGGGCGGAGGCCGGAUGAAGAAGGGCCGCGGGCGGGAUGACGGUGUUAGGGUUGAAAAACGAUUUCAGCAGGGGCGAAGCUUGUGGUGACGGUACCUGCAGAAGAAGCACCGGCUAACUACGUG